CCUUCUAUUACCAACAGGAGGAACAGAUCUUGCGAUUCCACAUGCACUACAAGCCACAUAACCUACCACGGAGAUUCUGACCUAUUUUCUCUUAUCUGGGAAUCAUUAAUACCAAUAUGACUUGGAAGACUGGAAGAAACAGAUGAAAGAGAAGCCUUGAAUUUCAUUCCAAGUCUUGGCUGUCAGCUUAAGGAGGCCGAAGGACUCCCGUUGCCGGCGAGGAAUAAUGUAGAAGAAGUGCCAUGCUGGGCCACAAAAGGUGUGAUUUCAUGCUGUCCAAGAACCCGCUGCAGCCUUCAGAUGUCUUUUGCUGGGCACUCCUGAAUCAAAUAUUCAGGUAAAGGUAUGUGAGAUAUAAGGACUAGUUUUAGCCUGUAUUGCUGUCAGAGAUUUCCUAACAAUCACUAAAAAGUUUUUCUUUUACUUUGGGAUGGUGUGGAAGAGAAUAUUUAUUUUCAAAGAAUUCAAAAAGUGAGAUAGCAAGGAUUUUAAAUAUUGAAUAGAUAUUUACUGAGUAAAAAUAUUGUGUAAAAACAUGACGGUUUUUAAAGCUCUAAGUGUAUCAUUUGUUAAUUAAAAGUCAUCACGUAGUCUUUGUGGCUAAUGUCAGCUCUCAACAUGCUUUCU
rnacentral:lncRNA from 1 species